AGCACAUGAUCUACAGCUGUGAUAGUUUAGC
rnacentral:piRNA from 1 species